CCUACGGGGGGCAGCAGUGAGGAAUAUUGGUCAAUGGCCGAGAGGCUGAACCAGCCAAGUCGCGUGAGGGAAGACGGCCCUACGGGUUGUAAACCUCUUUUGUCGGGGAGCAAAGAGAGGCACGUGGGACGCAUUGAGAGUACCCGAAGAAAAAGGAUCGGCUAACUCCGUGCCAGCAGCCGCGGUAAUACGGAGGAUGCGAGCGUUAUCCGGAUUUAUUGGGUUUAAAGGGUGCGCAGGCGGAGGUGCAAGUCAGCGGUCCAAUUGCGGGGCUCAACCCCGUCCUGCCGUUGAAACUGCAUCCCUUGCGUGCGCGAGACGUAUGCGGAAUGCGUGGUGUAGCGGUGAACUGCAUAGAUAUCACGCAGAACUCCGAUUGCGACGGCAGCAUACCGGCGCGCACCUGACGCUCAUGCACGAAAGCGUGGGUAUCGAACAGGAUUAGAUACCCUUGUAGUC
rnacentral:rRNA from 1 species